rnacentral:rRNA from 1 species
GACGAACGCUGGCGGCGUGCUUAACACAUGCAAGUCGAACGGAAAGGUCCUGCUUUUGUGGGGUGCUCGAGUGGCGAACGGGUGAGUAACACGUGAGUAACCUGUCCUUGACUUUGGGAUAACUUCAGGAAACUGGGGCUAAUACCGGAUAGGAGCUCCUGCUGCAUGGUGGGGGUUGGAAAGUUUCGGCGGUUGGGGAUGGACUCGCGGCUUAUCAGGUUGUUGGAUGGGUAGUGGCUUACCAAGGCCUUCACGGGUAGCCGGCCUGAGAGGGUGGACGGCGACAUUGGGACUGAGAUACGGCCCAGACUCCUACGGGAGGCAGCAGAGGGGAAUGUUGUAGAAUGGGCGGAAGCCUGAUGCAGCAACGCCGCGUGCGGGAUGACGGCAUUCGGGUUGUAAACCGCUUUCGCCUGUGACGAAGCGUGAGUGACGGUAAUGGGUAAAGAAGCACCGGCUAACUACGUG